ensembl:lncRNA
GAGAGAGUUGUGUAUGGAGGCUUAAGAGAGGUAGAGUUGUGUAGGGAGAUUUAAGGGAGGUAGAGUUGUGUAGGGAGAUUUAAGGGAGGUAGAGUGUUUGAUGUAGGGAGGUUUAAGAGGGGUAGAGUUGUGUAGGGAUGUUUAAGAGCAGUAGAGUUGUGUAGGGAGGUUUAAGAGAGAGAGUUGUGUAGGGAGGGUUAAGAGAGAGUUGUGUAGGGAGGUUUAAGGGAGGUAGAGUUGUGUAGGGAGAUUUAAGGGAGAGAGAGUUGUGUAGGGAGGGUUAAGAGAGAGUUGUGUAGGGAGGUUUAAGGGAGGUAGAGUUGUGUAGGGAGGUUUAAGAGGGGUAGAGUGUUUGAUGUAGGGAGGUUUAAGAGCGGUAGUUGUGUAGGGAGGUUUAAGAAAGGUAGAGUUGU